UUUGAUGAUCUUAUGGCGGAGAAGGAAGCUGUAUCUUCAAAAUGUGUCAAUUUGGCUAAAGAGAAUCAAGUUUUUCAACAGGAGUUAUUAUCUAUGAAAAAAGUACAACAGGAAUGUGAAAAACUUGAGGAAGAUAAAAAGAUGUUGGAAGAAGAAAUAUUAAAUCUUAAGACACAUAUGGAAAACAGUAUGGUAGAACUUAGUAAACUACAAGAAUAUAAAUCAGAGCUAGAUGAAAGGGCAAUGCAGGCAGUAGAAAAAUUAGAAGAAAUCCAUUUACAGGAACAAGCACAAUAUAAAAAACAAUUAGAGCAGUUAAACAAGGAUAUCAUACAGCUUCACUAAAUAAGAAGGAACUCACACUUAAAGAUGUGGAUUGUAAAUUCUACAAAAUGAAAACUGCUUAUGAAGAGGUUACAACUGAGUUAGAAGAAUAUAAGGAAGCCUUUGCAGCAGCAUUGAAAGCUAACAGUUCCAUGUCAAAAAAAUUAACUAAAUCGAAUAAGAAAAUAGCAAUGAUCAGUAUCAGCUCUUUAUGGAGAAAGAGCAGGUGAAAUAUUUUCUCAGCACUCUUCCUACAAGGUGAGGUCGAGAGUCACCUUGUGUUGAAAAUCUUACUAGUAUAGGACUCAACAGAAAAUAUAUUCCCCAAAUGCCCGUAAGAAUUCCUACUUCAAACCUCAGACUUCAAAUAACUGCCAGAACUACUUGACUGAGAUGGGGCUGGACUGUGUAGAAUAAAUAAUUAGAGAAACAAAGAGAACUGUUGCUGUAUUGGACACUUGCUCCCAUCUACUUUCUUCUCUAGAAUCCACGGCUCUGGAAUGAGUCAUUUUUUUUAGAAGCAGAGGUGGAGCCACUGAGGAAACACAGGUGAGCCCUCCCCAGUGUGUACUCACUGGUCCCCAACAGAAGAACCACUGCCACAUCCACUGAAACUCCCAUGGUGGUGGGUUGUGUCACCCCACAAUGUCACUGUUGCUGAGUCCCCAUCGCCUCUGUGUUGUGGAGCAGUUAGAGACACACAGCAGUGUCUGUGAGUAGCUCUGCGUGAAGGACCAUUUUCUAGAUGAGAGGCACAUCUCAACACAGCUCACUGAUCAGAUUCA
rnacentral:lncRNA from 1 species